GUGGGGAAUCUUAGACAAUGGGGGCAACCCUGAUCUAGCCAUGCCGCGUGAGUGAUGAAGGCCUUAGGGUCGUAAAGCUCUUUCGCCGGGGAAGAUAAUGACUGUACCCGGUAAAGAAACCCCGGCUAACUCCGUGCCAGCAGCCGCGGUAAUACGGAGGGGGUUAGCGUUGUUCGGAAUUACUGGGCGUAAAGCGCGCGUAGGCGGAUCGGAAAGUUGGGGGUGAAAUCCCGGGGCUCAACCCCGGAACUGCCUUUGAAACUCCUGGUCUUGAGGUCGAGAGAGGUGAGUGGAAUUCCGAGUGUAGAGGUGAAAUUCGUAGAUAUUCGGAGGAACACCAGUGGCGAAGGCGGCUCACUGGCUCGAUACUGACGCUGAGGUGCGAAAGCGUGGGGAGCAAACAGGAUUAGAAACCCCAGUAGUCC
rnacentral:rRNA from 1 species